AGCGAACGCUGGCGGCAGGCCUAACACAUGCAAGUCGAACGAUAUAGUGGCAGACGGGUGAGUAACGCGUGGGAACGUACCUUUCGCUAAGGAAUAGCUCCGGGAAACUGGUGGUAAUACCUUAUACGCCCUUAGGGGGAAAGAUUUAUCGGCGAAAGAUCGGCCCGCGUUGGAUUAGCUAGUUGGUGAGGUAAUGGCUCACAAAGGCGACGAUCCAUAGCUGGUCUGAGAGGAUGAUCAGCCACACUGGGACUGAGACACGGCCCAGACUCCUACGGGAGGCAGCAGUGGGGAAUCUUGCACAAUGGGCGAAAGCCUGAUGCAGCCAUGCCGCGUGAAUGAUGAAGGCCUUAGGGUUGUAAAAUUCUUUCGUCUGGGAUGAUAAUGACCGUACCUGAAGAAGAAGCCCCGGCUAACUUCGUGCCAGCAGCCGCGGUAAUACGAAGGGGGCUAGCGUUGUUCGGAAUUACUGGGCGUAAAGCGCACGUAGGCGGACUUUUAAGUCAGGUGUGAAAUCCCGGGGCUCAACCUCGGAACUGCAUUUGAAACUGGAAGUCUUGAGAUCAGGAGAGGUUAGCGGAAUACCGAGUGUAGAGGUGAAAUUCGU
rnacentral:rRNA from 1 species